rnacentral:lncRNA from 1 species
CAGGAGUGUUUGUUCCGGCGUUGGUCCACAUCAGCACCCCGGAUCCGAUCUGCGAUGACGCGUCUGACUCUGUGUCACUGGUCUCUCAGCAACAUGUCUGGCUGUGAAUAUGAGCUCUUCACGUCUCCUACCGCCAGCGGCCAACACAUGGAGCGCUGCAGGCGACACUCGGCCCCCACCACCAGCGACAGCGUGCAGAGGCAGGUCAGGGAGCUCUAUGCCACCACCAGGCAAAACCAGGCCCACCUUUUUGCCCCGGGUCCCCUGCUCCAGGAGAAGGAGGAGCAGCCUGACAGCUGUGAAAAACCAGCCUGAAGUUCCCUCCGUAGCGCUUCACCUCCGAUGGCCCCAUCAGGGUAAUUUUUACCGAAGCUGUUUUUGGGUUGAGCGCCUUUCGUGA